ACUGCCCCUAGCGGUAUUGCAGGUGUGGCUGCUGUGUCACAUGUGCGUCAGUGGGUGGCAGAGAGGAGAUCGUCCAUGUCUACUCUCGGUCUUCUAACCUAUGGACAUCUGUAUGAUUAGUAGCCUGACACU